UACGAAGGGGGCUAGCGUUGCUCGGAAUCACUGGGCGUAAAGCGCACGUAGGCGGCUUUUUAAGUCGGUGGUGAAAUCCUGGAGCUCAACUCCAGAACUGCCUUUGAUACUGGAGAGCUAGAGUCCGGAAGAGGUGAGUGGAACUGCGAGUGUAGAGGUGAAAUUCGUAGAUAUUCGCAAGAACACCAGUGGCGAAGGCGGCUCACUGGUCCGGUACUGACGCUGAGGUGCGAAAGCGUGGGGAGCAAACAGG
rnacentral:rRNA from 1 species